GACGAACCGUGCGAACGUUGUUCGGAAUCACUGGGCUUAAAGGGCGCGUAGGCGGGCCGUCAAGUCCGGGGUGAAAUCCUCCAGCCUAACUGGAGAAGCGCCUCGGAGACUGGCGGCCUCGAGGAGGGUAGGGGCAAGCGGAACUAUGGGUGGAGCGGUGAAAUGCAUUGAUAUCCAUAGGAACUCCGGUGGCGAAGGCGGCUUGCUGGACCCUUUCUGACGCUGAGGCGCGAAAGCCAGGGGAGCGAACGGG
rnacentral:rRNA from 1 species